rnacentral:rRNA from 1 species
UACGUAGGGUGCGAGCGUUGUCCGGAAUUAUUGGGCGUAAAGGGCUCGUAGGCGGUUUGUCGCGUCGGGAGUGAAAACUCAGGGCUUAACCCUGAGCCUGCUUCCGAUACGGGCAGACUAGAGGUAUGCAGGGGAGAACGGAAUUCCUGGUGUAGCGGUGAAAUGCGCAGAUAUCGGGAGGAACACCAGUGGCGAAGGCGGUUGCCUGGAGCUUUGCUGACGCUGAUGCGCGAAAGCGUGGGGAGCGAUCCGG